rnacentral:lncRNA from 1 species
CUAAAGUUAAUUUAUACGGCAAAUGUAAAACUAUUUCGCUCUAAAUAUGCAUAGAGUACUUGCAACUGGAGAAUACGCUAUCAAUAGUCCUGUAAUCGUCAAAGUUGUGACUGAGUGCGGAAAUAUGAAGAUAGAGAUAGUCUAGAAAGUUAAUUUAUACAGUACAAAUUAAAUUUCAAUUACGUAAUUACUAAUAACGGCGUUUUUUCAUAACAUUUAUAUUGAUAAAAAGAAUCUAUAAAAUCAAUGCAAGAAAUAUUUGGCACUGGAAGUUAUGUCUCUUGAUCGUGUGUCUUUUGUGAUGCUGGAAACCUAAAAUUUAUGAAAAAAACGGAUAACCAGUUUAUGAUUUGAUGAGUUUUUGAAAUACACACAAAUUCAGAUGGAGAACUAGUAACAAAAGUGAGGAAAAAAAAUGCUGCUUAACGCCCGCCAUGCAAUAUUCGGAUAAAUAUAAAAAGCAUCAUCGGAG